rnacentral:rRNA from 1 species
CUACGGGAGGCAGCAGUAGGGAAUAUUGGACAAUGGGUGCGAGCCUGAUCCAGCCAUGCCGCGUGCAGGAAGACGGCCUUCUGGGUUGUAAACUGCUUUUGCCAGGGGAUAAAACGUCCAUGCGUGGAUAAUUGAAGGUACCUGGUGAAUAAGCCACGGCUAACUACGUGCCAGCAGCCGCGGUAA